CCUACGGGGGGCAGCAGUGGGGAAUAUUGCACAAUGGGCGCAAGCCUGAUGCAGCCAUGCCGCGUGUGUGAAGAAGGCCUUCGGGUUGUAAAGCACUUUCAGCGGGGAGGAAGGCGUUAAGGUUAAUAACCUUGUCGAUUGACGUUACCCGCAGAAGAAGCACCGGCUAACUCCGUGCCAGCAGCCGCGGUAGUACGGAGGGUGCAAGCGUUAAUCGGAAUUACUGGGCGUAAAGCGCACGCAGGCGGUCUGUCAAGUCGGAUGUGAAAUCCCCGGGCUCAACCUGGGAACUGCAUUCGAAACUGGCAGGCUAGAGUCUUGUAGAGGGGGGUAGAAUUCCAGGUGUAGCGGUGAAAUGCGUAGAGAUCUGGAGGAAUACCGGUGGCGAAGGCGGCCCCCUGGACAAAGACUGACGCUCAGGUGCGAAAGCGUGGGGAGCAAACAGGAUUAGAUACCCGGGUAGUC
rnacentral:rRNA from 1 species